rnacentral:rRNA from 1 species
CCAAUAGCGUAUAUUAAAGUUGUUGCAGUUAAAAAGCUCGUAGUUGAAUUUCGGGAUUCUUCGGUUGGUCGGGCUAUCCAGUCUGUACUAGCGUGUAGAAUUCCUACCUUCUGGGGAACCAUCAUGUUAUUAAUUUAGCGUGGUGGGAAACCAGGACCUUUACCUUGAAAAAAUUAGAGUGUUCAAAGCAGGCUUACGUCUGAAUACAUUAGCAUGGAAUAAUAGAAUAGGACGGUGGUCCUGUUUUGUUGGUUUCUGAAUCACCGUAAUGAUUAAUAGGGAUAGUUGGGGGCAUUAGUAUUCAAUUGUCAGAGGUGAAAUUCUUGGAUUUAUUGAAGACUAACUUCUGCGAAAGCAUUUGCCAAGGAUGUUUUCAUUAAUCAAGAACGAAAGUUAGGGGAUCGAAGACGAUCAGAUACCGUCGUAGUCUUAACCAUAAACUAUGCCGACUAGGGAUCGGACGAUGUUAAAUUUUAUUGACUCGUUCGGCGCCUUACG